rnacentral:lncRNA from 1 species
CUUUUCCACACACUGCCUCUUGUGCUGGUUCUGCAUCUGAAGAGGUUUGGAGGACCUGGGGGGUUGGAGAAGCUGGAGGCUCCUCUUUUGUUUCCUUCGGAGCUGAGGCUCUCCACCCUCUGUGGGGACAUGGUGCCACACCUGCACAGUGCCAGCCCACAGGCCCUCACCAACCUGGCCCCCAGCAUCCAGGGGUCCAUCCCCCAGACCCUCAAAAGCCAAGUCUCCAGCCCAGCUGGAGAGGCCAAAGACAGCACCCUCUGCUGUUCAGAUUCAAAUGACCAGGAACCAGGGAAAGUGUUGCUGACAGCCUCAGUGAAGCAGCAGCCAGUGAAGUCAGUGAAUGGAUACUACCAGCUGACUGGUGUAGUCUCUCAUUUGGAAGGCUCCGCAAACUCCGUGCACUACAUUAGUGACAUCUUGCAUGCCAGUGGAAACUGGUUCUGCUGUAACGACAGCCAGGUGUCAAUGUCCAAUGAAGCCACUGUGCUGAGGACCAGAGCCCGGAGUGCCUACAUGCUCUUCUAUAUGUUCAGGGCAAGAGAGCGGGAGGCCCCAGCACACAGGGCCUAACAUGGCCACCUGCACCAGCCCCAGCCUAAACAGGGGCAGCACCUGGACCGGCCUCAACACACUCAGCUCAGCCUCAACAGGGUCAGCACCUGAACGAGCCUCAACAGGGUCAGCACUGGGCCCAACAUCAACAACCCCGAGCCCAGCCUCAACAGGGGCAGCACCUGGCCCAGCUUCAACACCCCCAGCCCAGCCUCAACACACUCACACCUGUCUCAACAGGGGCAACACCUGGCACAGUUUCAACACCCCCAGCCCAGCCUCAACACACUCACACCUGUCUCAACAGGGGCAACACCUGGCACAGCUUCAACACCCCCAGCCCAGCCUCAACAUGGGAAGAACCAGGCCCAGUCUCAACAUGGACAAAACAAGACCCAGCCCCAACACCCUCAGCCCUGCCUCAACAGGUGCAGCACUCAGCCCAACUUUAAUCAUGGGGCUCAAGGGAGACUUGCUCUUCAUCACUAGCAUGAACAUUCUUUCAGUAGCUUAUGUCAUAAAUGCCUGCCCUUGAUUUGACUACUUCACCUAAUGUAUAAAGCUCAUGUAAAAAAACAUAUAAAGUAUACACACUAAAUGUAGUACACAUGUAAAUGUGGUGGAUAGAGUGUGUGAUUAUUUAGAGGGUAUAACAUCCCUUCUAUUUGGUUUGGUUUGAAAUCCUCCUGUUGUGAAAUACACUGUGGUGUAUAACUUCUUAUUCAGCAUGGUCAGACUGGAUGACCUGCAAUAUUCAACAUUGAUCCAGGUCCCCAGCAUGUCGGGAG